CAGGGUUGAUAGUUAGCUAACGGUUCCCUUAAGCAAUUAAGGUUUGAACUGAGGAAAGUCCACCCACUGAAGAUGUUAAAUCUUGCUUAAACGCUUGAUUUGGCAUUGGAGCAACAACUCCACUAAAGGAGACGCAGUAAUGUGUGGCAACGCCACAGAAACGAGACCGCUCUUUAAGAGGAUGAAGAUUGUGAAGCAUCUGGUGACAGGUGUUAGUUAACCAACAGACGUUUUAAAGAGAAAGGGUGAAACGGGCAGACCUUGUUUGUGCAAGUCCAGUGACGUUAAAUGUUCGAAGAACAUUUAUGGCGUCACCAAGACGCUUAGUUGAAUGCUAACACAGUUUAAAGCCAAAAGCUUAGACUGACAGAAGGUGGCUUAUUUCAGCCCUG
rnacentral:RNase_P_RNA from 1 species